rnacentral:rRNA from 1 species
CGGGUGAGUAAUGCCUAGGAAUCUGCCUGGUAGUGGGGGACAACGUUUCGAAAGGAACGCUAAUACCGCAUACGUCCUACGGGAGAAAGCAGGGGACCUUCGGGCCUUGCGCUAUCAGAUGAGCCUAGGUCGGAUUAGCUAGUUGGUGAGGUAAUGGCUCACCAAGGCGACGAUCCGUAACUGGUCUGAGAGGAUGAUCAGUCACACUGGAACUGAGACACGGUCCAGACUCCUACGGGAGGCAGCAGGCCGAA